GAAAUUUUAUUUAUAUAUCUUCUCGUUAAAUAGUAUACUUAUAGUAAAAUUCUAUAUUUCAUAUAGAGUUUGUCAUCCACUGUUCUAUUAGAUACUUUCAGAACAAAAAUCCACUCGUAACGCUAUUGUCUUGUUUUCUCGCAGAGCUGAUAAUUUUGAAAUACCACUCCAUAAAUGCUCUAAAAUUUUCAAAACCCUUAUAUGAUUCUUUUAUAUUUAAGUUGCCAAAUAUAUAUGUUCAACCAGUGCAUAAUCAAAGAAAUUACAGAGACUUAUUUGUCUAAAAAACCACAAAAACAUAAAAAUUUAUAGAAUCCGGUACUUUUAAGAUGGCUUACGAAAUCAGGUACUUUUACUUAUUUGAAAUGACGCUAUUACCCUUGAUUCAUCAUUUAGAGAAAACAAAUAAAAAUUGUAUGAUUUUUUUGUGUUGUCGUCGUCGUCGUUAUCAACCCUCAUCAUCAUCAUCACCAACGUAACCACCGACGCCAUCAUCAUCGCCAUUAACAACUGGAUCUGUCUCCGUUUCCAUCAAAUCUCUUUCUCUCUCUGCAGAUCAAUUGAUUUUUUACAACGUGAUUGAAGCGGGGCUAGCUCCGGUGACGAUAGUUGAUUGGUUGUGUCCCUUAAGAUGAGCUCCUUCAAUGGUAACGAACGGCGUCGGCGGCCGUGAAUCAUGAGAGAGAUGGCUCAGUUUCUUUUUCUUUUCUCUGAUCUUCCUCUUUAUCAUCAGAUUCUAUCUCAGAAACUUAUCAAUGUGCGUUUGAUUUUUUUUGCUUGGGUUCCCUUUACAAUAAUCAUUAGGGUUUAGUUUUUGAAUGGAAUUCUCUUCCAAUAAACAAAAUAUCAUUAAUGGUGAAUAGUGAGGACGCAAAUGAUUAUUGAAAAGCUUUGAUUUCGAAUACUCGAUUGCAGAUCUGCCACAAAUCUGAAACUCUGUUUUUACUAUUCCCCUUCUUCUUCAUUUGCAAGAUGAUUUCAUUUCGUUCGUUUAAUUUUUUGCUUUGGUUUCAUCAAUACUAUCAUCUUUAGGGUUUAAUUAUUGUGAAUCAAUGAAUGUUUUUAGUUAGAAUAGAUUUUAAGAAUAUGAGAUUUGGAAAAAAAAUUGGAUUUAAAAGAAGAGGAGCGUGCAAGAAGAUGAUGAGAAAAGAUGAUGAGAUUAUUCAGGGGUAAAAUGAUCAAAUCGCCCUAUCAAAACUACUCCUUUUCAAAGAUCAUACACAAAAACCUCAAAAUCAAAGUUUUUAUCAAAAAACAUCCUCUUUUGACAAUAACCCCAAUUACAGAGUCUCAUGUACUUCUGUUGGAGGGACCGUCGUUAUCAAAAAAGAAACCAACAUUUUAGCGUGGUAGUCGUCUACCUUUUGGCUUUUAAUCUUAUAUUUUCUUUUGCUUAAUGACAAGUGUCCUUUUAGGGUAUAUUCAUUUUUCACCAAAUUACUUGUUUUUUAUAUGUAUUUUCAAUGAAUAUUUGGAAUAUUCUUUACAUAUAAUAUCAAUUAUACAAAAUAUUAUUUUUGAAAAUAUAU
rnacentral:sRNA from 1 species